ACAACGGCUCUUUUGAGAGCCAUCCACAAAACUUUUAAGAGCUUG
rfam:Oryzias latipes DNA, chromosome2, strain: Hd-rR.